rnacentral:rRNA from 1 species
AUUGAACGCUGGCGGCAUGCCUAACACAUGCAAGUCGAACGAGUGGCGGACGGGUGAGUAAUGUCUGGGAAACCGCCCGCUGGCUGCGGAUCCCUACUGGAAACGGUAGCUAAUACCGCAUACCAUCGGAUGUGCCCAGAUGGGAUUAGCUAGUAGGUGGGGUAACGGCCUACCUAGGCGACGCUCCCUAGCUGGUCUGAGAGGAUGACCAGGCACACGGGAACUGAGAUACGGUCAAGAAUCCGACGGGAGGCAGCAGUGGGGAAUAGUGGACAAUGGGCGCAAGCCUGAUGCAGCCAUGCCGCGUGUAUGAAGAAGGCCUUCGGGUUGUAAAGUACUUUCAGCGAGGAGGCGUUACUCGCAGAAGAAGCAACGGCUAACUACGUGCCAGCAGCCGCGGUAAUUC